rnacentral:rRNA from 1 species
ACGGGCGGAGUGUACAAGGCCCGGGAACGUAUUCACCGUGGCAUUCUGAUCCACGAUUACUAGCGAUUCCGACUUCAUGGAGUCGAGUUGCAGACUCCAAUCCGGACUACGACGCACUUUAUGAGGUCCGCUUGCUCUCGCGAGGUCGCUUCUCUUUGUAUGCGCCAUUGUANCACGUGUGUAGCCCUGGUCGUAAGGGCCAUGAUGACUUUGACGUCAUCCCCAACUUCCUCCAGUUUAAUCAACUGGGAAGUCUCCUUUUGAGUUCCCCGGCCGGGACCGCUGGGCAAACAAAAGGGAUAAAGGGGUUGCGCUCCGUUGCGGGGAACUUAAACCCAAACAAUUUCACAAACAACGAAGCUUGACGAANAGCCAAUGCAACAACCUGUCUCAACGGGUCCCCGAAAGGGAACAAUUCCUCAAUCCUCCUGAAAAACUUCCGUGGGAUGUUAAAGAACAUGGUAA